rnacentral:lncRNA from 1 species
UCCUUUAUACUACAACAAUCCACAAAUACUGUUAUUUGCCCUUACACAUGAUGCAGUACUAAACUUUCUUUGCUUUGCCCAUACUGUUCCCACCUUCUGGAAUGACUUCCUUCACUAUCUUUGGAUAGUAAACUUUUACUCAUCCUUCAAAAACCUGUUCAGGCUAUUCUGAGAGAUCUUCCCUCAUUGUUCCAAAUAAAGAUGAUUUCUAUAUCUCCAAAACCUGAUCUAUAUCUUUACUAUUACUGCAUGAAACAAUAAGACAAAUAAGCACACAAAAGUCUUGCCUGUAGAGUCUUAUCUCAUCUUUAUAUAUCCAGAUCUCAGCACGAUGUUUGGCAUAUAGUGUAUACUCCAUCCUUAUUUGUUGAAUUUAACUGAAUUCCUCUUCCCAGGUACAAGGUAUAGGAGGUAUUUGGGAGUUUAAAACAAACCACAACAUUAUGUUAGCAACUCAUGAAUUAGUACUAAAUUUUUUAUGAUGUUUGUUUUUGUUUGUUCGUAAAAAUGCACUUAUCUUACCAAAAAAGACAAAACAAAAAAAUACAAAAAAGUUCCUUGAUCUCCUUAACCAGAAAAAUUGCUUUCAACAGUAUGGGCCAAUGCAGAUCUAUGAUCAUGUUUAUAUCUAUACAGACAUAUAUAAAUACUCUUAUAUAAUCCAGAAAUAGAGCUUUGUUAGAUUUUUUUAAGAGAUUUGCUUUGAAUAGUAGGAAUGAGUUAUCGUUUGUAGAAAAAAGAUGACACGAUGGAGAAAUAAGUAUUCCCUCCUGAUGGAACAAGACAGUGAGGCUUGCUGAAAUCCAUUUAGCACAAUCAGUUGGUCUAUUAUUUCCCAAUUAUGAAAGUGGAGAAAUGAGAUAUUUAAUCAGGACAUAUUUUAGAAAGUUGUAACAUAUUUGCUUACUUCCCUAAGGCUUGUAAUGAAGAGCUCUUAAUAUUUCAUUUUCAUUAUUACCAGAAGAGAAGAGUUAUAAUAAAAACUCUCCUUGUGGUCUUGAUCCCAAAGCAAAAGAGAAUUUCAGCAUCUCUAGGUCAUCUGAGCAAUGACCCUCACAGUGAAACUAGGUGGAGAACUACUGGAGAUCAGGAUUCUGGAUCCAUUUCCCAGUCCAUUGCCAUUCUUUGUCUUUGCCAAUAAUCUCUACUUCUAACUCACAGGACAUCUUGUAUUUAGAAUCUCUUCUGUGCUUGGAAGGUUACGGAAAAUAAUCAUUCCCAUAUGCAUGCUAAAGUGGACACCUUCCACUGAACACCGAACUCCUCCCUAAGUUCAGGACUGACAGCCACAGAUGAGUAAACUGAGGCACAUUUGCGAAAACAUCAGGAAGAGAUUGGAGUAUGCCAUCUUUAAGAUCUUUUUAAGCUAAAAAUUAUCUCAUUUAAUUAGUGCCCCAAUAUUAUCUGCUGGAACAAAGGUGUAAUCAUUGAACCAGGGAAUAUCAUCAAAGACCAAAAUGCUGAUUGUGACUUAUUACUAAUUUUGGCUGCCAAAUCCUUCGUUUUUUGAGAGGUUAGACUUACCUCUGUUAGAUCUAGGUUAUAGCUAAUUGUGUUCUGUUCCUAAACAGAUUAAGAUCACAUUGCUGAGAAUUGGGAAUAAUUGUAGAAUGCAUAAACAAAUUACUGCUCUCUGGAUAAAAAACACAAAUUUCUCAAUGUCUUGUUCUCAUAUUCCAGGUCUUAGACUAGUCAUGCCCAAAAAAAGCUUUCACUGAUACAGCGAAGGUAAGGGUGAGUGCAGCCCUCAGGAUAUCUAAGUCAAACCAGACAGGGCUGCCUGCUUCCCAUUUCCAGUGUGGUCUGCGGUGGUGUGUCUGAUAAGAACGGACAAAAAGCAGAAAGCAUGAUCACUGUGAUGAAAAAUGAGAAGUGAAGAACAACCAGGUCCCAGCAACCCCUGACACAGUGGCCCUGGAUAGCUAAAUUUCAGCCAUUCCUAAACAUCGAAUGGGAAGGAACAGGUUCAAUUCAUUAGGUGUUUUCAACCUGCUUUUUCUUUUUAAUAUAUGUAUACUGUGAAAAGAGGGUCAGUUUGUGUUUGGAAAAACCAAUAUAUUUAUUUGCAUUUAGCUGUCAUCUAUUGGGAGAGAAGUAAAAUUAAAGCAUGGAAAGGAGAAUUAUUUGAAAACGCAAACUAGUAUAAGCAGGAGAGGGCAAAACUUUGCAUAGUUUCUUUAAAAUAAUGUCUUUUAAAGGUCAUCUAAUGGGGUGUGAGUGUGUGUGAAAAACACACUGGUUUAUUCACCAAAAAGAGCCCAAUCUGGCAUGUAGCAUAGCUUUCUCACAAUCCAGGGAAGAGGGACCAGGGACUUUGGAAGCUGAACAGAGCAGAGUAGGUCUAAGUGUCUGUCCUCACAUGGACAUCUGAAGUCUCACUCAGAUUUCAUUCUCAUUCUCCCCUCCCUUUCUCUUCGCUCUUUCUCUCCCUCCAUCUCCAUCUUUAACUCUGUCUUUUUCAAUCUAUUUUCACAAAGGAUCCUGGCUGCAUCCUGUCUCAGUCCUUUGUGUCCUAACAGGAAAAUCUCAAUCCCUCCUUUCUUGACUCUUGAUCCCGUCCUGGCAAGCUUCCAAUUCAAAGAUGUCUCAAUUAGCUAAGCAUGAAGACACAGGACAGACCAAAUGCUUCUUUAAAUACUGAAUCCUUCUUAUAAAGUAACUUUGACUUGAAAUAAGAUCUACAGAUUAGAUAACAGCAUUUUGUCAAUAUUAUUAAUCUCCUGAUUUUGAUCAUUGGGCUCUAUUUAUGUAAGAGAAUGUCUUUAUUUUCAAAGAUACAUACCAAAGUAUUUGAGGUUAAAGGGACAUCAUAGCUGGAAAUUUUUUAACAUUUAUUUUAAAAGUUCAGGAGUACAUGUGCAGGAUGUACAGGUUACAUAGAUAAACAUGUGUCAUAGGGAUUUGUUGUACAGAUUAUUUCAUCACCUAGGUAUUGAGCCUAGUAUCCAUUAGUCAUUUUUCCUGAUUCUCCCCUUCUUCCUAUUCUCUGCCCUCCAGUAGGCCCCAGUGUGUGUUGUUCCCCUCUAUGUGUCCAUGUGUUCUCAUCAUUUAGCUCCCACUUGUGAGAACAUGCAGUAUUUGGUUUUCUGUUCCUGCAAUAGUUUGCUAAGAAUAAUGGCCUCCAUCUCCAUCCAUGUCCCUACAAAGGACAUCCUCUGUUCUUUUUUGUGGCUGCAUAGUACUCCAUGGUGUAUAUGUACCAUAUUUUCUUUAUCCAGUCUAUCAAUGAUGGGCAUUUGAUUCCAUGUCUUUGUUAUUGUGAAUAGUUCUGCAAUGAACAUACAUAUGCAUGUGUCUUUAUAAUAGAAUGAUUUAUAUUCUUUUAGGUAUGUACUCAGUAAUGAGAUUGCUAGGUCAAAUGGUAUUUCUGUCUAGGUCUUUGAGGAAUCACCACACUGUCUUCCACAAUGGUUGAACUAAUUUACACUCCCACCAACAGUGUAAAGGCAUUCCUUUUUCUCCACAACCUCAUCAGCAUCUUUUAUUUUUUGACUUUUUGAUAAUAGCCAUUCUGACUGGUGUGAAAUGGUAUCUCACUGUGGUUUUGAUUUGCAUUUCUCUAAUAAUUAGUGAUUUGGGGCUUUUUUCCAUAUGAUUGUUGGCUGCAAGUAUGUCUUCUUUUGAGAAGUGUCUGUUCAUGUCCUUUGCCCACUUUUUAAUGGGGUUGUUUUUUUCUUGUAAAUUUAAGUAGCUUGAAUUAUUUUCAAAUGUUUUCGAAGAAAAACCAUGUAUAUAUAGAAAAAGAAAGCCAAUGUGACAAAAUGUUAACAUUUGGAAUACCUGGGUGAACAAUAUCUGGAAUUUUUUGUAUUAUUCUUCCAACUUUUCUGUCAUUUUGAAGUUAUUUCAAAAUAAAAAAUUAAAAGGGGCUCUUCUAUAUUUUUAAAAAUUAUCAUUUUUAUUUGUUAUCACAGUAAAGAUCCUCUUUACCCAGUGAUUCUACUGGGGAAGAUGAUUGAAAAGCAAGGAGCUAUACCCUGACACAACUCAAACCAAACAUAUUAUUAUAUAACACACACAACCAAAAUCGCAUUCUAGAAACCUGGACAAAUUUUUCCAUAAAACUUAAAAUGAAGUUGUUCUCAUCUUUUCAUUUGCCCAUUAAUUUAGUCAUAGAAUAUUUAUUGAAUACCUCCUGUUCAAAAUGAUCAAAAAUGCUCUGGUGCUCACAGGCUGCAAAGGAGACACACACAGUCACUUCCAGGACUGCAUGGUAAGUGUUAAAACAGGUUCUAUGGAAGAUAGAGGCAAGGAACGCCUGUAAUCCCAGCACUUUGGGAGGCUGAGGCAGGCAGAUCACUUGAGGUCAGGAGUUUGAGACCAGCCUGGCCAACAUGGUGAUACCCUGUCUCUACUAAAAAUACAAAAAUAGCCGGGCGCGGUGGUGCGCACCUGUAAUCCCAGCUACUCAGGAGGCUGAAACAGGGGAAUUGCUGGAACCUGGGAGACAGAGGUUGCAGUGAGCCAAGAUUGCACCACUGCACUCCAGCGGGGGUGACAGUGAGACUCCGUCUCAAAAAGAAAAAAAAAAGAAACGAAAAUAGAGACAAGGCAACCUUUGCCCAGUCUUUUAAGGGAUCAGAGAGGCCUUCCUAAAAAGGGGAUGUUUAAUAUGAGAUCCCUAGGGAAAGAGGAGUUGGCUAGAUGAAGGAGGUAUGUGUCAGCAUGGGAGAGCAAUAAUAUCCCAAGAUGUGAAAAGACUGGGGCCUAGCAUUGGGGAUGGAGAAGAGGGGAGGCUCUAGCUUACAAAACAGCUAAAACUGAAGAGUCAAACAGAAGCUUUAUAUGCUCUACUGAUGGUUGGGAAUUUUAUUCUGAAUACUACAGGAUUUUUAAGCAAAGGAGUAACUUGCAAAAAUUAUUUUUUAUAAUUUUAAUUUUGUUACUGAUGGAAGUACUGAUUUGAGAAGAGCAGAAAUGGAGCUCAGGAGACCAUUUAAAUGACUCCACACCAAGGCAAAUUAAAUGACCUUACAUCAUUUCUGUCUUCUGGAACCAACUCUUUUAAGUCAAAUGGACAAACUCAUGUACCCCAUAUCAGGUAGAUGAUAAAGCCAGGUGUUCACACUCUAAACCCGCUUGAGAUCAUCACUGUGGGCUCAACUUCCAUGAUGGCUUUGCUAUCCUUGCUCUAAAUCCUGUGUCUGAUUCUGGGAGUUGACCCCAUAUCCCUUUACAAACCCACUGUCCCUUCUAACCUUCUCUUAACCCUUCACCUCUUGCUAUGAAAGUCAGUAAAAUGACAACAUCGCAAUGAAGCCAAAAUUAUAUUGCUUAAAGCCAUAAAACUAAAUAGAAACCAGGUUAUCAAAAUAGACUUUUCAACGAAGGUUAUUGCUUCACUGGGCUUCACAAAUGAAACCAGAAAUACCUCUUAUGGUCAGUCCAACUCACAUAUUACAAAUACUGAAAUGCCCUUUGUCUGCCAGGUGAACUUUUAAUGAUACCUUAAGACCCAAAUCAAAGAAUACCUAUUUGGUAACACUUCUCUGAAUGGCCCCCACCCCAAAAAGGUGAGACAUUCACUCCUGUGUUCUUACAGUACUUUGUGCUUGCUUCUUAAAUACAUGGCUCCAAACCCUAGCUUUGCAACUGAUUUUUGGGCAAUGCUGAUCAUGUUUCUUCGCAUCAGUAAAGCAGAGAGAAAAACAGAAUUUACUUCCUAGUGUCAAAUGAAAUAAUCACUAAUGAAUUCUUGCCUGGGUCCCCAGUACAUGAAAAUAACAGCUAGUGGUUGUGAAGAGCUUACUAUGGUGUCAUUUAUAAUUUCCCCCACUAAAACAGGAGCUCCUUUAGUGAAAGAGACUUAAUUACCUAUGAAUCCUUACUAUCUAACAAGCAGUCUGGCAUGUAGAGGGAGCUCCAUACAUACUUGUGGAGGGCAUGAAUGAGUGGGUCUAAGCGGGAUAUCCGAUGAUCAGUGUCCACUGCCACAAAUAAAUUAAAGCCCUGGUUCUUGGCAGAUUCCCGGUGAUGAAGUGUCUGGGUUGGUUCACACAGCCACAGGUUGAGCUCCAGCUCAGCGAGCCUGCUGAGUCGUUUCUGCACACCGACUAUCUCUGACUGCUCUUCAUCCCAAUCGCUGGCUUAAUCACCUCUGCUGGCUUCUUUCCUGCGUCUUGGGGAGUGAAAAAGUUUCUGCUACUAAAAGAAUGACUGCCUGUGAUCCCAUCCUUUCCAUUUGGACAGUCUCCUAUUAUUGUCGAUUCUCCCCUUGCUUUAACAAGUGGCUUCCGCUUCAUCACAAAGCAUUCUGUGCUUAUAUCUCUCUUUAUCUCUGUGUGGAGUGGAGCAGAGCAGAGAGAGUUCCUCCCUGCCCACAUUGUGCUGACACUGAAAGAGACACAAUCAUCAGGCGGGGAGGAAAGGUGGCUUUUGAAUCAGAACAAAUGCAUCCCAGCUCAAUUCUAUGCUUCGUUUAAUUAGGAAUCAAUUGGCUCUGGCCACCAUGACUGAGUUCCUCUUUUCAUAGGAAACCAGAACUCACUCACUCUCUUUACUUGUAGGAGAAGUGCAGAGACACAAGGAAGAACUGAGUGGAGUUUGGAAUAAAAAGCAGCAUCUUGCAGAAGGAGAAUCAGAGUGACCAAAAAUACAUAUAAACAAAGAUGAUAUAAUGAGGAAAUUAAUCCCAAUCCCAAAAAUGUAUUAAACACCUGUUAUUGAUAUGUGCUAGGAACUGUGCUAGAAUCUGGGGGUGCACCUUUAAAUAAGAUUAGUUACUGCAUUCAAGAAAUUUGGUGAAAUAAAAAUCAUAUGAUUAUUGGGAGUAACUUACAUUAUUUAGCUUGAGAAGGGAAAGCAGAAGAGGUGCCAUGAGGCUUGUCUCAAAAUACAUGAUGGGGUGUAGAAGUGAGCUUCCUCCAAGCCCCUUAAAAUCAUCUACAAAACGCUACCCUAUCUUGCAACAUCAUUGUAAAUGGGAGUUUCAUAGGGCUGUACCUGAAAGCACCUAAAAUCACAGCACUCCUGAGAAACGGUAAUGUAUAAGUGCCUAACUUUGUCGCUGCCAGUGAUCCUCCUCCUUCUACCCCCAAGCCAAAGAGAGAGAUUCAUGUGCUUGUAUUAAUAAAAAAUAAAUAUUGGUAUACCAGUAUUUAUAAAUAUUGGUAUACCAGUAUUUAUAAAAUACCAAUAAAUAUUGAUAUUUUAAAAUACCAAUGCUUUUAUUGGUAACAUCCUAAGAACACGGGAAAUGAAGACUAGGAUACACAGCUUGAUAGGAGCAGAACUAGAAGCUGAUCAUCUUUCACACGACCUCAGGAAGUGUGACUUCAGCUGUCAUAUGGGGGCUUUCCAGCCACAAAGUGUCAUUGUCAAGAGUUGCAACCUUUUACUUCAUCUCUUUAAAUUCACACUUCAUACCAUUUGUCACACCCAAUGGCUCAGAACCAACUCCAAGUUAGCACAGCCCCUCUACUUGAAUGUUUGUGACUGUCUCUAUUUCUGGGUCACCUGGCUUCACAGCUCUCUUCCUCACUGUCUUCCUCCUUCUGAAUUAACAAACUGACUUCAGAGGCAAGGCGAGACUUGGCUUGGGACCCAGAUGGCUGUGAGCACACAUUUAUUAGUCAUAACUCUUAGAAUUGCAAAUUAAUGAAGAUUCAACUCAAAGUAACAUAAGUAAAACAGGGGAAUUGUUCAAUCAUGUAAUGGAAAAAGGCUAGUAGGAGAGUUGGUUUUAAGCUUAUCCCUCUCUAUCUGUCCACCUGUCUAUGGAUCUCUAUCUCUCUGCCUCUCUUUCUUUCCCCAUGCCCUGGCUCCACUUUCAUCUGUGUACAUUUCAUACUCAAACAGGAGCUCUCCAUGUGGUCUCUGGAAGCUCCCGUCUUUCAUCUUUAAACUAUAAAAGCAGCACAAAGGACUGCCAACUUCCUUCCAAUCUCCCCGGUAACAGUCAAAGUAUUAGCUCUGAUUGGAUUAACUAGGGCAUGUGCCCAUUCCUGAAGAAAAUGCUGUCGCACCAGGGAUUGGAUCAACUGAUGGCCAGGCUGGUCAUUCACACACCCCUGAGCUGAAGGUGUGUCACCUCUUGGUCCAAGAGAGGAGAUGCUGUGCUUCCUAAAUGAGUCUCCAGAAGCUGUUAUUAGUGGGACUAAUGAAUGCUGAGAAGAGAAAGGAAAAAGCCAGAAAUUUCCCCUGAGUUCCCACAUUGGAACAUGCCAUCCUAGCUGAGCCUGUAGCUUUCAACUAUUUGAGAGGGCAAGCAAGAAACAAAGGCACCUGAACCCAAUUUUAGGUGUAUAAGACUCGGUUUGUUUCCUGUAGCUCAUCAUCCUCUUAUGUCUUCUGAAAGGAAAAACUGAUAGAAAGUGAGGGUGAGAGAAUACACAACAGCGGGAAGGACAUCAGUUCUCCAUCUUUUGUGAGAUCAGUGACAUCAGAUGUUAAUAGAGGCAAAAUAUGACAGAUCCAGAUGACAACUGCUGGCAGGACUGUGGGGCUGUUCUAGCAGGAAGCUCUCACUUCGUUUUCCUUUAGGACAAGCACACCGAUGCAGAGCUGGACUAUCUGCACAAACAAAUAAGUUGUUUCUGAAUUGUAAGUGCUAUAAAGAGGAUUAUAAUGAGGAUUUGAACUUCAGAGUCUAGCUUAACUUUGGAUAUGAGAAAGAAACUAACCAUCACCUUUUCAAACCUGAAUUGUCUCUCUUUACUUCUCCAAUCAAUUACAAAGGUCAUGGAUAUGGAGAAAUUGGAACCCGGAUGGUUUAGUUCAUAUGAAAAUAUAUAAAAUAUAUUUCCACAGCAGAAAGAAAUCUUGUCAAAGCAUUUUUGAGUGGAUUUUUGUUGCUGUUGUUCUGUUUGGUUUGCUUUUUCAUUUUAUCUGCUGCUUCCCAAUGUCCCAUCACCUAAGGGUCACUUUAUUGUACAUUAUUUCAUCCAUGGCUCUACUACUGGGAUCUUCAUAUGGUGCAUUUAUGGAAACUCAUAAAUUUUUUGUUUUCAUGGCACAAAGUGGAAUUUCUAAUAACAAUAAUGUUUUAAAUACUAUCAAUCUCAUCAUUAUCAUUAUCAAUACCAAAAACUAUAAAAUAAAAACGUAGUACAAGUUUUUAUACUAAGUUUAAUAGCCAUAUUGAUGAGUGUUUGCAACGCAUCAUGUUCCCUGUAAGCACUUUAUCUGUAUUGCCCAAAGUAAGUUUUACAGCAAAACUAUGAAGCCAACACUUUUUUUUAAUCAUCACAUUAAAAAACAAAAAUUGAUACUCAGAAGCCAAUGCCUCAACCAGUAGAGGCAGCUAGUGUGUCCUCCCCAACCUGUUCCAGGUCCCUCUCAGCAAACACACAUCUUCUGUUCCUUUCCUCUGCCUGCUGCGCUCUCUCCAGCAUUUGCAACUGCUGCUCUGUAUUCUUAAUGCUCUGUCAGGAAAGCUAUGUUUUCAGGGCAUAAUCUCCGUGGCCAUAAGUGGUGACCUAUCCCCAUGUGGCUAACUUCCACCACCUGGCUAACUUCUACUCAUGACCUUAGAAUAAAAGUCGCCAUCUCAGAGUGGCCACUUUCAACGUCCCCUCUUUUUUUUUUAAAACAGUUUCACUCUGUCGACCAGGCUGGAGUGCAAUGGCAUGAUCACAGCUCACAGCAGUGUAGACUUCCCAGGCUCCAGCGAUCCUCCCACCUCAGCCUCCAAAGUAGCUGGGACCACAAGCGCAUGCACCACGCCUGGCUAAGUUUUGUAUUUUUUUGGAGAUGAGAGUUGCCGAGGCUGAUCGCGAACUCUUGGGCUCAAGAGAUCUACCUGCCUGAGCUUCCCAAAAUGCUGGGAUUUCAGGCGUGAGCCACCGUGCCUGACCAGCAUUCCCUCCUCUUUGUAAUGUACAGAGUGGGCAGAGAUUAUCCAGCACUUUCUUCCAUGAGACUUGAAGUUUUGCUCGACUUUCACCUAGAGGUGUGUCCUCUGCAUUCAGCUCAGUUUCAGUCAUCUACUACAUAUUGCUGAAUAGAAAAGUGACUAUAGUCACUUCCCAGGUGGGUGGCAGGAUGCCGGAGACCACUGUACUCUAAGCAGUUUCUCAGGACUUCCUCCAUCUCCCAUGGCCAUUUUCCAAUCCCUUUCUUUGCUAAGCUUUACCUCCUUGACUUGAAAACUAUGGUUCUAUCCCACAUGUUAUUUUCUUAAAUACCUACAGGAGUAUGGAAAAAUAAUAGAAAUGUUUAAAGUCAACCGAUCACAAAUAGGAAUAUGUGAAGAAUCUGACAAACUAGAGCAUGCAUGUCCUUUCUAAUAGGGAUAUUUGUUGCCCUAAGGAUUGAGAGCCCAAUAUUCACCAGAACUCCCAAAUAUUCAAGGGAAGUCAGAAAUAUUGAGUUUUAGUUUUAUAUGUAAAAAUCUGUCACUAUUUUAGUAUCAUGUACAAGAUAUAUGACAUGGCACAACUAUUUAACCCCUCUUUGCCUCUAUUUCCUCAUCUGUAAAGUGGGAACAAUGUUGGAACCUAACUCUCAAGGCUACUAUGAGAUAUAAAUUAUUUGAUAUUUAUGAAGAGUUUAAAGCAGUUCUUGGUGUAUGGUAAGUGUGUACAUACAUAUUUGAAUAUGUAUCAUCUAAUGAAUAUGUAAUAUUCAAUUUCAUGUUAAAUACAUAAUUGAACAUUGAAUUUAUAAUUUAAUAACAACAAAAAAAAAUACCUGUUUAAAGAAAGACACUGUGCAACCAAACGAAACAUGUCUACAGGCCACUUGUGGCCUACAGGUUAUCAGAUUUGAAGUGCUGUUUAUAUUUUAACUUUUUAACAUAUAUUUUAUUGUAGAGACAGGGUCUAGCUAUGUUGCCUAGGCUAAUCCUCCCACCUUGGCCAGCUUAUACUUUAACUGAAAGCUUCAUCUUGAACCACCUCUGGAUCUGGUCCACCUCCUGACUCUUUUCUCCUACAUCGUUUCAAAAAUAGCCCUUUCUCUGACCCUAGAGUCAACAAUUUUCUUAAGUCAUGGCUGCUCAGCUCACCCCUUAGUCUCAAGAAUACCCAAGAGGGACAGUUUAUAAUAGCUGCUUUUUCCCCCUACCCAUGGAGAUGCAAACUUCACCCUAAAAAGCAAGCUCUGAGGCUUCCUAGGCCUCAGAGGGGUCUCUAUCAACCGCAACCCACUUUUCCAUCAAUCUUAUCUGUAAUAUUUUCGGAUCGUGCCUGCCACCCUGAAGCCAGCUGCAUUAUCUGCAAUCAGCAGCAUGGUAGGGAUGGAGGAUAAGCUUGUUCUCAGCAAGCAAGUUGAGAACAGGGCUAAAAAUAACCAUUUUCAAAUUAAAUUCUUGAAUUGGAAAGGAAAAGAGAGAGGAUAAACAGGACACAGUAUGGCAGGUUUUAUUUAUUUACACCAAUGAAUCAAAGAUAAAGGAAGGAAAAAGGCGUUUUGAAGAAUUUGGGCGUAUGGCAGAAUUGUUUCCAUCUCUGGUAAUGUUGUCAAAACACCAAUGAUGAUGCAAAGCAAAUGCCUGUCAGACAAACCCAAAGGAAGCUUAUUUACACGUUUGGGAUGAGCAGGGUUGUAAAUGAUGGUUUAAUUGGGAAAAUCUGCUUAGUCAUUUGAACAAGCAGACCUAAAAACAGACAUAACAUAGUGCUGCAAGGAAAACAAAUGUAAGAGAAUUUCUCUUUCAUUGCUUUACUCUAAUGCAUUUCCUGCUUUCCUCCUCCCUCUCUCUAUUCCAUUUUCAUUUCCAUUAGAUAAAAAACUUCUCAGCAUUUUCCAGGCUGCCCUUAACCUUUCUGACUUGCUUACUUGGGGCCUGUAGAAGACAAAGCACUCUUUCAAUGACUGGAGACAGGCACUAGGCAGUACCCAAUGCACGUAGACUGGCCUCUGGGGCUGAAAAUGUAGCUUCCUAAAAACAAACAGUACAGAGGCUGAUGGAUUAGGGAAGGUGUAUAGAACAUUCAAUUUGAUGCCUAGCAAAUAAAAAGCAUUCAAUAAAUAUUAGUUUCCUUACCUGCCACUCAAUAGGGAACUGGCAUUUAUUAUUAAAAAAAUCACCUACUCACAUCUAUAAUAAAAUUUUUUGACUGGGAAGGAUUAUAUCAGUACAGUAACCAUGAUUAUUUCUGGGUAGGAAGUUAUUGAUACAGUUUCCUGCUUUAUAUUUUAAUUUAUGCUUUUCAAAUUUUCUGCAAAGAUUAGCCACGCAUGGUGGUGGCAACCUCUAAUCCCAGCUACUCGAGAGGCUGAGGCAGGAGAAUUGCUUGAACCUGGGAGGGGGAGGCUGCAGUAGGCCGAGAUCGCACCACUGCACUCCAGCCUGGGCAACAAGAGCGAAACUCCAUCUCAAAAAAAAAAAAAAAAUACUCUGCAAUGACAAAUUAGAAAUAAAAUGAUUUUUAAAUCAAAAAUUCUGAAUGCUAUUUUAUUAAAUGUAAGUCAUUUUCUAGCCUUAUAAUCACCUAUUCCCAUUCACUGACCUAACUGUCUAGUAAAAGGUAAUUCAUUAAUGAUCUUGAAAACUAAAGUUUUAGUUUUGUCAGUCUUUUCAAAACUGUCCAGAAACUGGCAUUUUGCAAAGUUUUCAAUGAUGAGAGGUUGGCACUACUGCCAACCAUAAACUAAAUUUGACUUGAAGUGGUUGUAAUCUCCCAAAACACACAAAAAAAAUACAGAAAUAUAUAAAAGGAUUAGUAGGGCACGAACAAUUUAUUUCAUCAUUUCAGCCAUUAUUUCUAGGAAAGCCUUUUUGUUAUCUGUAGCAGAUAUUUGUGAUGAAUUGUGCCAUACAUAUCCCCUCUGCACACCUAAUUUCAGUACUGAUGUGGUGGGCAGCUCUGUGCCUCUUUGCCAAUGUCCAUGGUGUCCUACUGUAUCGCUUUCUCAAAAGCUGGGAAAAGUAGCUUAGCCACAUGUAGGUGCAACCCAGAAAUGUGAGGGAGUCUAUGCCCCUCAAGGUAAUCCUCAUCCAAUGGGGGAUAAAAUCUAUGGAUAAAUGUCCCAGCUUCCUUGUCCUCCCGUAGGACAAUUCUAAGCAGUAACCAGCUCGUUAACACGUACUUUACAGUUGUUGUUGUUUUUUUCCCUUUCUUGUCUGUCUCUCUUUCCUUAUUCUUGCACUUCCACUUUCUGUGAUUGCCUCCAAAACAAACUCCCUGAAUCUUAGUCAGUUUGGGGUGUUCUAACAGAAUACCACAGACUGGUGACUUAGGCAGCAAACAUUUAAUUCCCACAAGUUCUAGAGGAUAGAAGUUCAAGAUGAGGGUGCCAGCAUGGUUAGGUCUUUCUUGGAGGCCCUCUUCCUGGUUUACAGAUGGCUGCCUUCUUGUUAUAUCCUCAUUUGCCAGAAGGAGAGAGAGAUAUCAUGUCUCUCUCUCUUUAUAAGCUCAUUAAUCUCAUCAAGUGGACCCCACCCUCAUGACCUAAUCUAACCCUAAUUACCUCAUAAAAGCCCCACCUUGGAAUGCCAUCACAUUGAGGAUUAGAGUUUCAACAUAUCAAUGCUGGGGUUAAACACACAUUCCACCCAUAGCAUCCUGCAUCAAGUCCUCAUCUCAGUGUCAACUUUAAGUGCCUGGAAGAACCAGAAUCCUAGGAGCAUGGAAGACUUAAUUCAUUCAACAGUAACCACCUCUUUUUAGCCUAAGACUUUGGCAGCCGAACAACAGAACAGGAAUUAUGUCAGCUUUUCUGCUUAGCAUGAGCUCUGCCCCAGAACCAAUGACAUAAAAUACGUAUGUUUGCUUUCCCUGCCACAAAGUUGCGACACAUUAUCAAAGCUUUACAAAGUCACUCUAUCUUAGGACACCCCUAGACAACUUGUUUCCAUCUUACUUCUGGGACAAAAAUAUUUACUGUAUCCUGCUUUCAUUGUCUUUGUGAAUAUUACAUUAAAUGUUGACAUGUGCUUGGCAAUUCAAAUUCAUUGGUUAAAUGUUUUUCUCCUCUCAAAAUUAUUUUUAAUAUAAUAGUCUAAUAAAUAUGAAUCCAAGAUUCCUUACUAAACAUGUGACUUUGCCUUGUCCAACCUCAGUAUUUUGUUCUAUAAAACGCAAGUAACUAGGCAACU